rnacentral:rRNA from 1 species
AGAGUUUGAUCAUGGCUCAGGAUGAACGCUAGCGGCAGGCUUAACACAUGCAAGUCGAGGGGUAUAGUUCUUCGGAACUAGAGACCGGCGCACGGGUGCGUAACGCGUAUGCAAUCUACCUUUCACAAAGGGAUAGCCCAGAGAAAUUUGGAUUAAUACCUUAUAGUAUAGCGAGUUCGCAUGGAUUUGCUAUUAAAGAUUUAUCGGUGAAAGAUGAGCAUGCGUCCCAUUAGCUAGUUGGUAAGGUAACGGCUUACCAAGGCUACGAUGGGUAGGGGUCCUGAGAGGGAGAUCCCCCACACUGGUACUGAGACACGGACCAGACUCCUACGGGAGGCAGCAGUGAGGAAUAUUGGUCAAUGGGCGCAAGCCUGAACCAGCCAUGCCGCGUGCAGGAUGACGGUCCUAUGGAUUGUAAACUGCUUUUGUACAGGAAGAAACACCCCGACGUGUCGGGACUUGACGGUACUGUAAGAAUAAGGAUCGGCUAACUCCGUGCCAGCAGCCGCGGUAAUACGGAGGAUCCAAGCGUUAUCCGGAAUCAUUGGGUUUAAAGGGUCCGUAGGCGGCUUAAUAAGUCAGUGGUGAAAUCCCUACGCUUAACGUANGAACGGCCAUUGAUACUGUUAGGCUUGAAUUAUUAGGAAGUAACUAGAAUAUGUAGUGUAGCGGUGAAAUGCUUAGAGAUUACAUGGAAUACCAAUUGCGAAGGCAGGUUACUACUAAUGGAUUGACGCUGAUGGACGAAAGCGUGGGUAGCGAACAGGAUUAGAUACCCUGGUAGUCCACGCCGUAAACGAUGGAUACUAGCUGUUGGAAGCAAUUUCAGUGGCUAAGCGAAAGUGAUAAGUAUCCCACCUGGGGAGUACGUUCGCAGAAUGAAACUCAAAGGAAUUGACGGGNNCGCACAAGCGGUGGAG